CGGGUGAGUGAAGAAGGAAUGACAGAGUCAGGCUGUCCCCAGUUUGCAGCCUCUGAGGAAAUAUCAGCCUAAGCAAAGAUCCUGGUGGCUGCCACGUCUCUUCCACAUCACCCUCUGUGAGUCAUUCUCACCAAAAUAGAGAACCAGAAUCGAAUCCAGCCAUUAGCACUCACCACCAGUUCGAAAAGGUACAGGGAACAGCAACAGGUCACACACCAGCACCCGGAUGCAAUCAACAAAACCCAGACUGUGGGAAAUUCUACAGGAAAACAGCCAGCUGCUUCCUCAAAUAAACUGCGGAGAGAGAGAAAACCUAUAGACUGAAAGAGACCACAGACGCGUGUCACCCCGAUGCAACGCUUGGAUCCUGACACGAACAAAUUCUCCAUAAAAAUUCAUCUCCAAGGCAAUUUGGGAUAUUUAAACAGAUAUGAGAUAAUAUUAGGGAACUGUGGUUAAUAUUCUUUUAGUUAUGAUAGUGAUGUUGUGUUAUAUUUUUUUUAAAGACAUUGUCUUUUAGAGAUACAUGGAAAUAUUGGCAGAUGAAAUAAGAUGUUUGGGAUUUGCUUCAAAAUAAUCCAGUUUGGGGGUGGGGGCAGAAUGGGGAAAUACAGAAGCAGCAAGAUUGGGUAUGAAUUGGUAACAGCUGGAGCUGGGUCGUGAUCGUUCACCAUACUAUUCUCUCUACUUUUGUGUAUGUUAGAGAUUUUUCCAGAAUAAAAGUUAAAAAAAAAAAAAAAGCAAUAGGCGAUAUCUUUGAAAGAAGUGGAAGACGCUGUGCAUGAGAACAGAAACAGCACUUUGGGAAGGUGGCGUCUGCGGGCCUGGGCUGGAACUGGCCUUGUGAACCCCGAGGAGAGAAGAGCCGGCCUCCGUCACUCGGUUUGCAGCUGGGGGCUGGAGGAGGGCAGUGCAGGAACUGAGCGUGAUCGGUAGCUGGGUGUUUCCUCCGGGGAGUCUGCCACAAGCCAGGCCGCACAAAUCACAGCCACCAAAUACAGACGUGCUAGAAGUCGUGUCAGCAGAGGUGAUAAAGAGCCAGACAGACGGCCAGCUUAGAACUGUUCCUUUCAAAGUCCGAGAGACUCUGCCGUUGCAACCACAGCGCUAAAAAUGACCGUGAGUGGGUUUAAGUAACACGCCCACUUCGGGGUGAGCCCCACCCCUGCCUGAGACGCGGGGCGCAUCCGCGGGGGCAGCCCUCUCUGGCGGCCGGUGAGCUUGGGGCGCGUGCGCCGCUGGGGGCGCCAAGCCCCGCCUCCUGCGCGCUUGGGCCUGGGACCCUGGGCAGGAGCUGGGCAAAGGCGCCAGGAGGCCUCUCCUGGGCUGCUGAGCUGAGGAGCCCACCCCAGGACUCUCCAGAAUAAGGAAGAGCGCCUUUGGUUCACAGCAGCAAGCCCUCCACGUUGCCUCUUGUAAGCCUAAGGGAGAGUGUGCCAGGCUCUGCCCAGCCUGGAGGUCCAUGCAUGGCCCUCCCUCGGCGCCCGGCCUUUGCACAUGUGACUUCCCGAGCUCUUCUUUCCUGUGGGUGCGAGGGGUGAGGCUGACGGGGCAGGAAACAGGCCCAGGAGGCCAGAGGCGGCUGGA
rnacentral:lncRNA from 1 species